AUUGAACGCUGGCGGCAUGCCUUACACAUGCAAGUCGAACGGCAGCACGGGGGCAACCCUGGUGGCGAGUGGCGUACGGGUGAGUAAUGCAUCGGAACGUGUCCUCUUGUGGGGGAUAACCAGUCGAAAGACUGGCUAAUACCGCAUGAGCUCGAGAGAGGAAAGCGGGGGACCGCAAGGCCUCGCGCGAGAGGAGCGGCCGAUGUUCGAUUAGCUAGUUGGCGGGGUAACGGCCCACCAAGGCGACGAUCGGUAGCUGGUCUGAGAGGACGACCAGCCACACUGGGACUGAGACACGGCCCAGACUCCUACGGGAGGCAGCAGUGGGGAAUUUUGGACAAUGGGCGCAAGCCUGAUCCAGCCAUGCCGCGUGUGUGAAGAAGGCCUUCGGGUUGUAAAGCACUUUCGGGCGGAACGAAAUCGCGCGGAUGAACAAUCCGCGUGGAUGACGGUACCGCAAGAAGAAGCACCGGCUAACUACGUGCCAGCCGCCGCCGUAA
rnacentral:rRNA from 1 species